CAUCCCGGUGCACUAAGCUCUCGCGCAUCCAGGGAAGGGUUGGACCAUAAGGGUCUAAUUGGACACAGCUUUAUCCUGCAUUUCUGUCGGAGGUGUUACCACAAUUCGAACCCAUGACCUCCUGGUCAUAUAACAAUAACUUCACUAGUAAUGCCAAGGCUCCCUUUCAAGUUGUUAAGUUUUACCACAACUCGACCUAUGACCUCGCGGUCAUAUAAUAGUAUCUUUACCAGUAACGCCAAGGCCCCCCUUCUAGUCGUUAAGUUUAAAAGAACGGAUAAUUUAGCUAGAGAUUAUUCCUUUAUUUGGAUUGUUGGAGUGAAUUAGAUUGAAUUUGUGGUGUUGUCUAUCCCUUUUCUUUUACAUGUUUUUUGAACUUUGUAGUAUAGUCAUCUACUCUUUUUGGAAGAUCUUGACAUAUUGAUGAGUUUUACAACUAGUAUUAUUUUAGAAAGUAUUGUAAUCUGAGAGUAUUCCUGUGCUUGAUGAAAUGCUUAUUUUCUGUGUUGAUAACUUUUAUCUUU
rnacentral:lncRNA from 1 species